rnacentral:rRNA from 1 species
UACAGAGGGGGCAAGCGUUGUUCGGAAUUACUGGGCGUAAAGCGCGCGCAGGCGGUUUCUCAAGUCAGUGGUGAAAGCCCGGAGCUCAACUCCGGAACUGCCAUUGAAACUGUGAAACUUGAGGACGAGAGAGGUGAGUGGAAUUCCCAGUGUAGAGGUGAAAUUCGUAGAUAUUCGCAAGAACACCAGUGGCGAAGGCGGCUCACUGGCCCGAUACUGACGCUGAGGCACGAAAGCGUGGGGAGCAAACAGG